UUAUGACCGUUAGAUAUCCAUGGCCAAAUGAUCCAUCCGUCUGUUGCAUCUGUCUCUCUCGAUGCUUCCUCUAGCUUCCUACCUGGCCACACCCACCCUAUCGCCGCACGCCCGCACCCUCCCGAGCCCCGCGACCCACCCUCCCGGGCACGGGUGCCAUGCCCGUCGGCAGCUCCUCCGGCCGGCGCGCGAAUCAGCAUGCGGCAGGGCGCGGCGGCGGCCUUCCCGGUGGCCAGUAGUGGCGCGGCGGCGGCCUUCCCGGUGCCCAGCAGGGGCACGGCGUGCGCGGUGCGCCACCGGCCCUCCACAGCAAGCUGAGGCUGCGCAGCGGGGCCUCACCAGCUGGCGCAGCGGCCGCGCGACACAUCCUGCUCGGCGAGCACGGCGAGCCACAUGGAGCGACCUCCCUUGCUUCUCCCCCUCUCAUCUACUGAUUUGGUUGCGCUGCAGCUACACAGUGGUCUUCCCAGCCGAUGCCAACGAGGUGGAUGACGACUCUUAAGGUGAAUUUGGUGCCCAACAAUCCCAUGGGGAAGGAGAUUGCUGCUGCCAACCACCCUGGUAUCUCACCUUUGCAUUUGCUUUUCUACAUAUAUUCACUCUCCUAAUUACAGGGUUGCAGCAGAUCGAUUUUUCGGGACCGUGCAAUGUCUAUAUGUGUCUGAGAGGAUCGUGAGCUUGAGUUGAUUCAAUGCCAGAGUCACCACCCUCCACCCCAAAUUAAUUUUAAAAAACCAUAGAAUAAAGGUGACCUGUACAAUUAGUAAUCCAGCACCACCCUUCACCCCAAGUUAGAUUUCUUAUAUGAUACAUAUAUACUCUGAUGCCUACUUACAAUUCUUGCAGAGUGACUGGCCUCCUGAUUUGUAAAUUUAUUGGGUGAUAUGAGUAACUUAGUGAGUCUGAGCUGAUGCCUGUAAUUGGGAAGCACCUUUGAGAAAAGCUGGCUCGAAAGUGAUGCACCACUUUCCGGCACGACAACACCUGAGAAGAAUGUGGUGCUUCUAUAUCACAGUGGAGGACAGCAGCUAUGAUAAAUCUCCUUGAUGUGUGUCCUUCACUGUCGAAAAAGAACUUGCUUAAAGUUUUAGACCUGUUGUGAGGUAAAAUGUUGUGUUCUACGCGACAUAUAUGUUUUGUUAAUGUCUUUGAGUUCAGCUAAAGCCCAGCGGUGAUACUAAGUGUAGACUGGAAUAUGUGUGCAACUACCAAAUAUGUCUUAGCAAGCUAGAUGUUUCUCCAAAAUUUGCAUUCUACAUGGUA